CCAACAACUACUGGAAAAAUAAUGGUCAACUUGAACCCACAAGUGUGUGCACUCAUCAUUUCAUUAUAUAUAUUCAUCGGCUGUAAUUAAAAAUUACAGGUCAAAUAUCUUUUCCCAUAUAAGUUUCUUUAUAUCUAGUACUUCUAUAUCCUUAAUUACAUAUAAAAUAGGGAUCUUAAAUUUAUUUAUCAUCUCAUUAGAUAAGUAGGUUGUCAUUUUCAUAUGAUGCUUAGUUCCAAAGUAUUCCUUCCAAUCAUAUAUAUAAUAAAAUAUGAUCAUUUUAGAUUACUAUAUACCGGAUUAUUCUUAAAUAACUAUGUCCCUCUGUCACUAUUAGCUUGGUACGUUUGGAUACUUUUUCUCUAAACAGCGCCUCAACUCUGGUUACUAUCCUAUCACGGCUUCUCUACCUUACCGGUUUCACCUUUAGGAUGACAUACUUUUGGGAACUUUCUCCUUUUCCUCUUUGCUAAUAAACUUUGCAACAUAUUAUUCUUUGAAUAAUUCUACUAAAUAGUAACUAAUAUGAAUCUAUUUAUCAUAUCAUGAUUGUUAGGAAUUAAUGGACUUAGCUAUUCAUAAUCAUAAAUGAAAAUACAUGUUCAUGUAGAUUUGAUAAUUCUGAGCUUUGAUCAUCCAUAUCUGAGUAAAAAACUGAAUAUCUUUUUGGAUAUUUGAGAGAAUUUUUAAUUGUUUACAAGGAAGGUUUUCUCUCCG
rnacentral:lncRNA from 1 species